CAGUAGAAGAGUCCAGCAGAACAAAGUUGGAAGCAGAGGGAGUGAAUCUAAACCUAUGGACAGAUUCAUCUUGGAAACCCUAAGUGAGGCUAAAGGGAGAAAACAAAUUGGAAGGAGAUUUAAAGGAUUCUCAAAUACAAACUGAAGUUUUCAAGAACAGGAUCAUGAAGGACAGUAAAAAUCAGGAAUUGCCAAACUUUGUCACAAUGGCUGUACAACAUCAGUGAGCCGAAGUCAUACCACUGCAUUACAGCCCGGGCGACAGAGAAAGACUCCAUCUCAAAAAAAAAAAAAAAGGAUGGAUGGAAGAGAAGGAAAGGAAGAAAGGAGAAAAGGGAGGGAGGGAGGGAAGGAGGGAGGACUUGUAUGUGAGAAGUGACUUCUACCUUACUGCUUUAAAAAAUGUAUCUGUCUUUUGACAACAUAAAAUGUCUUGUGUCUAAACAUGGAUCCCUUGUAAUUCACGCAACUUCUUACAAGUGAAGAUUACAGUUUUUCAUCAAAUUUGUGAAGUUUUCAGCUAUUAUUAAACUAUUCUUUAAGCCAAUUUCUUUCUUCCCUCUCACU
rnacentral:lncRNA from 1 species